rnacentral:rRNA from 1 species
AGCGAACGCUGGCGGCAGGCCUAACACAUGCAAGUCGAACGAACCUUUCGGGGUUAGUGGCGGACGGGUGAGUAACACGUGGGAACGUGCCUUUAGGUUCGGAAUAACUCAGGGAAACUUGUGCUAAUACCGAAUGUGCCCUUCGGGGGAAAGAUUAAUCGCCUUUAGAGCGGCCCGCGUCUGAUUAGCUAGUUGGUUGAGGUAAUGGCACACCAAGGCGACGUUCAGUAGCUGGUCUGAGAGGAUGUUCAGCCACAUUGGGACUGAGACACGGCCCAAACUCCUACGGGAGGCAGCAGUGGGGAAUCUUGCGCAAUGGGGGAAAGCCUGACGCAGCCAUGCCGCGUGAAUGAUGAAGGUCUUAGGAUUGUAAAAUUCUUUCACCGGGGACGAUAAUGACGGUACCCGGAGAAGAAGCCCCGGCUAACUUCGUG